GCCUACGACCAUAUCACCCUGAAUGCGCCCGAUCUCGUCUGAUCUCGGAAGCUAAGCAUGGUCGAGCCUGGUUACUACUUGGAUGGGAGACUGCCUGGGAAUACCAGGUGUUGUAGGAU
rnacentral:rRNA from 1 species